CCGCGUGAGUGAAGAAGGGUUUCGGCUCGUAAAGCUCUGUUGUUAAAGAAGAACACGUAUGAGAGUAACUGUUCAUACGUUGACGGUAUUUAACCAGAAAGUCACGGCUAACUACGUGCCAGCAGCCGCGGUAAUACGUAGGUGGCAAGCGUUAUCCGGAUUUAUUGGGCGUAAAGAGAGUGCAGGCGGUUUUCUAAGUCUGAUGUGAAAGCCUUCGGCUUAACCGGAGAAGUGCAUCGGAAACUGGAUAACUUGAGUGCAGAAGAGGGUAGUGGAACUCCAUGUGUAGCGGUGGAAUGCGUAGAUAUAUGGAAGAACACCAGUGGCGAAGGCGGCUACCUGGUCUGCAACUGACGCUGAGACUCGAAAGCAUGGGUAGCGAACAGGAUUAGAUACCCUGGUAGUCCAUGCCGUAAACGAUGAGUGCUAGGUGUUGGAGGGUUUCCGCCCUUCAGUGCCGGAGCUAACGCAUUAAGCACUCCGCCUGGGGAGUACGACCGCAAGGUUGAAACUCAAAGGAAUUGACGGGGGCCCGCACAAGCGGUGGAGCAUGUGGUUUAAUUCGAAGCUACGCGAAGAACCUUACCAGGUCUUGACAUCUUGCGCCAACCCUAGAGAUAGGGCGUUUCCUUCGGGAACGCAAUGACAGGUGGUGCAUGGUCGUCGUCAGCUCGUGUCGUGAGAUGUUGGGUUAAGUCCCGCAACGAGCGCAACCCUUGUUACUAGUUGCCAGCAUUAAGUUGGGCACUCUAGUGAGACUGCCGGUGACAAACCGGAGGAAGGUGGGGACGACGUCAGAUCAUCAUGCCCCUUAUGACCUGGGCUACACACGUGCUACAAUGGACGGUACAACGAGUCGCGAACUCGCGAGGGCAAGCAAAUCUCUUAAAACCGUUCUCAGUUCGGACUGCAGGCUGCAACUCGCCUGCACGAAGUCGGAAUCGCUAGUAAUCGCGGAUCAGCAUGCCGCGGUGAAUACGUUCCCGGGCCUUGUACACACCGCCCGUCACACCAUGAGAGUUUGUAACACCCAAAGUCGGUGGGGUAACCUUUUAGGA
rnacentral:rRNA from 2 species